CUCUUACGUUCAAGUGAUUCUUAUGCCUCAGCCUCCAGAGUAGCUGGGAUUACAGAUGUAGAUGAGCGUCCCUGGCGUUGGCGUUGGCAUCAUCGUCCUGGUGCUGGUCUCUGUCCGCCAGGCGCUCCCGCACUCUUGCUGACCCUGCCGCCCGCAGCCCUGGCGCUCCCUGAGGGCCCUGCCGAGGCCACUUGCGCCCUGUGCCAGCGCGCGCCCUGGGAGUCGGUGGGCGCCGACUGCGGCCACCGCUUCUGUUGGGCGUGCGUGGUGCGCUUCUGGGCCGAGGAGGAUGGGCCCUUCGCGUGCCCCGAGUGCGCUGACGACUGCUGGCAGCACGCCGUGGAGCCCGGCCGGCUCCCGCGCAGCCGCCGCCGCCUGGCGCCGGCGCGCAAUGGCCGGGCCAGCGAGGCCUAGCUGCAGCUGCUGUGCCGCACUGACGCCGGCCCGCUCUGCGCCGCCUGCCGCCUGGCUGCGGGCCUCGAGCCACCCGAGUGGGAGCAGCGCUGGAGGAAGUUGCUGCGCGGCCAGGAGAACAAGGAGUCUGUGGAAAUCAUGAGAAAGGACUUGAAUGACGCCCGGGACCUGCAUGACCAGGCGGAGUCAGCAGCUGCAGUGUGGAAGGGACACGUGAUGGACCAUAGGAAGAAGGCACUGACCAACUACAAGAAGCUGCGGGCCUUCUUUGUGGAGGAGGAGGAGCACUUCCUGCAGGAGGCUGAGAAGGAGGAGGGGCUCCUCAGGGAGGGGCUUCUCCCUCAGGUCACUGCUCAGACAAAGCUGGAGACAAGCACCGGAUCCUGGGCCUCAGCAUGCUGCUGCAGUGAUGGCGCCAACCCGCGGUAGUCCCAGAGCUGCAGGCAGGAGGAUGGAUCCUCAUCUCCCUGGGAAGUGUCAGCGUGUGGCUGUCAGGGAAGCGUGGAAGGCGCCCGGCCUUGGGUCCAUUUAUAUAGUUGUGUGUUUCAACAAUGUCUCUUUAUUCUUCACCCUGAGGUGUGAGGGUUUUGGGGGCUGCAAACACCUCCUGGUAGAGGCUGGACCUGAGGAUCCUUCUGACCUGUGCCCGACCCUUCCUGAAGUCCUGGCCACAGCCCAUCCUCCAUGAGUCCCGGCAGCUCUGGGCCAUGCCCUUCCUUGGUCACCCAUCUGCCCCUCACCUUGUCAUCCAGGGACCCAGACCCUGCACCUUCCAUGCGGGCCCACAGAUCCUUGGCAGGUACCUGAGGUGCACCAUUGAGUGUCGAAUUUGGGGUUAGCAUCCAGAAAGAAGAACGCACAUGAGGCUCUGUGAAGGCUGGAACUCAGGGCUUCAGGGAAGAGAAAGGAAGACGAUUGCACCUUGAUGCCUCCUGAGGAAGCGGCCCUCCUCUUGAGGUGGGCGUGGGCCCCACCCAGCGUUGUCAGUGUGGCUCUGUCCACGUCCCCCUUCCUGGCCCCCACCCUGCUUCUGUGUCUCCCAGGAGCCCUCCCUGUGCUCCACCUGCCUCCGCAGAAGGAACUCUCCGUUUCCCUGGGUGAGGGGACUGGCAGGUGGCAAACCCCAUUUAGCCUCUCCGGGUCCUGCCAUGGUGUCUCAUCUUGCUGUUCUCUCUGGCUCUUUCUCUCUUCCCAUUUCCUUUAGUAGUUGAAUUUUGCAAAGCUUGUGGCAGUAGCUCAGUUGCCUGCAGCAUCCUUGUGUGUAGAUAAAUUAGUGGACAGAAACUCAGCACUGGGGACAAGAUUGCAAAGUCAGGGACAUAGAUGGAGGCAGACGUUGAGAUUUGGGUAUAGCUGGGCUUGUGAGCAGUGCCUGAUUCCAGAUGAAGCCUUUCAGCACUUCCGAGUCCCCGGCCUUUGGUGCGAUGUGUGUGAGUUUGACCUACCCAGCGUGUGGGCUGGCUCAAUGCUGAAUAAAGUGGGUUUGUGUCAAAAAAAAAAAAAAAAAAAAAAAAAAGAUUUAGAUGGGCCAGGCACAAUGGCUUACGUCUGUAAUCCCAGCACUUUGGGAGGCCAAGGCAGGAAGAUCACUUGAGCUCAGGAGUUUAAAACAAGCCCGGGCAACAUAGUGAGACUUCGUCUCUAUUUUACUAAAAAAAAAAUUAUUUAAUUUCUUUUCUCGAAGCAAGGAGUCAAUUAAUAUAGGAAUAUAGAAGUACAGAUAUGUAUAGAUAGAUCUAAUCACUCCUAUGGCUCCAGUCAUUGAGUAUAUGCUAAUAACACCGAAAUCUUUUUCUCACUGGGAUCUGCCUCAAGAAUACUAGACGUACUGGCUACAGACACACCAACCUUUAUGUUCCUAAACCUAAAUUAAUUAACUUUCUACACUCCUAUACCCACUCUGUCUCCAGUGUUCCCUAGAGCAAAAUAAUACAUCUACCCAUUGCUUAAACCAGAAA